GGCCGAGCAGCUGCAUGCAAGCCUCACAUCACAAAGUACAAUGCCAAGCGUCGGAUCAAGUGGUGUAAAGCAUGCCGGCACUGGACUCUGGAGGAAUGGAAACGUGUUCUGUGGAGUGACAAAUCACACCUCUCUGUUUGGCAGUCUGAAGGGCAAGUCUGGGUUUGGCGAAUGCCUGGGGAAAGUUAACUGCCUCAGUGCAUUGUGCCAACUGUAAAGUUUAGUGGAGCAGGGAUAAUGGCAGAGAGCUGUUUUUCAGGGGUUGAGCUAGGCCUCUUACUUCCAACAAAG